UACGUAGGGGGCAAGCGUUGUCCGGAAUCAUUGGGCGUAAAGAGCGUGUAGGCGGCCCGGUAAGUCCGCUGUAAAAGUCAAAGGCUCAACCUUUGAAUGUCAGUGGAUACUGCCGGGCUAGAGUCCGGAAGAGGCGAGUGGAACUCCUGGUGUAGCGGUGGAAUGCGCAGAUAUCAGGAGGAACACCAACGGCGAAGGCAGCUCGCUGGGACGGUACUGACGCUGAGACGCGAAAGCGUGGGGAGCGAACAGG
rnacentral:rRNA from 1 species